CUGUGCUCAAGUUGUCGUUGAUCUUCAAGGGCACCCGCAGGAUGUAGACCAGGAAGAGCACGAUGAAGAACCACACGGUCCAGAGAAAGACCGGCCGAGGGGCCACUCUGGACACAACCACAACGGGUGUGCAGGGCUUCCUGCAGGCGAGGCACCGCUCCAAGAAAAAAGGCGAAUGUGCUCCUGUCACCAGUUUGCAGGCCUGAAGAGAAAUCACUCUCAGGCAAGACUUGGGUUGUACACGCUGUUUACCUUGGUUUUGUCUUCCUUGAAACAGCAUGGGGGUUUUCCAAAGAAGUGUCUUGAAAGAAUGUUUGUUUAUCCUCCAAUUUGGGGAGCAGUCACAAUUCAAACAAUGCUUGGCCCGUUUUUAAUGAUACACACAAUGCUCUGGGGUAAUUUUGGCUUAUUUUGAACUGGCUACUUUAAACAAGAAGUCAAUCAUACACGUUUUUUGUCGGUGCUAAAUAAAAUGUGGUCUUUAACCAAGUGAACAUUUAAAGUCUGUUUCUGUCUGUAACUCAUUUCACUUUCUAUGUAUUAGAUGGUAAUAAAGCAAUUGCAGGUUAUCCAAUCUACAGCCAAGACUUUUAGAAUUCUGAGCGUUCAGCAGAAUAUUUUAUUAUAAAUACUGUUUUGCUUACUUGUAGUUUUCACUGUAAUAAAA